UGAGGAAUAUUGGUCAAUGGACGGAAGUCUGAACCAGCCAAGUAGCGUGCAGGAAGACGGCCCUAUGGGUUGUAAACUGCUUUUGUAUGGGGAUAAAGUCAAUCACGUGUGAUUGUUUGCAGGUACCAUACGAAUAAGGACCGGCUAAUUCCGUGCCAGCAGCCGCGGUAAUACGGAAGGUUCGGGCGUUAUCCGGAUUUAUUGGGUUUAAAGGGAGCGUAGACUGGAGAUUAAGUGUGUUGUGAAAUGUAGACGCUCAACGUCUGAAUUGCAGCGCAUACUGGUUUCCUUGAGUACGCACAACGUUGGCGGAAUUCGUCGUGUAGCGGUGAAAUGCUUAGAUAUGACGAAGAACUCCGAUUGCGAAGGCAGCUGACGGGAGCGCAACUGACGCUUAAGCUCGAAGGUGCGGGUAUCGAACAGGAUUAGAUACCCUGGUAGUCCGCACAGUAAACGAUGGAUGCCCGCUGUUGGUACCUAGUAUCAGCGGCUAAGCGAAAGCAUUAAGCAUCCCACCUGGGGAGUACGCCGGCAACGGUG
rnacentral:rRNA from 1 species